ACCCUAUCAAUAUUGUCUCUGC
rnacentral:miRNA from 1 species